CCGGGACCAUCCGGUAAGGCUAAAUACUCCCGAGAGACCGAUAGCGAACCAGUACCGUGAGGGAAAGGUGAAAAGCACUUCGAACAGAAGAGUGAAAUAGUUCCUGAAACCGUGCGCCUACAAGCGGUCGGAGCUCGUUAAUGAGUGACGGCGUGCCUUUUGCAUAAUGAACCUACGAGUUGCCUUUGCCGGCAAGGUUAAGUGUGACGACACACGUAUCCGAAGCGAAAGCGAGUCUGAACAGGGCGUAUAGUCGGCAGUGGCAGACGCGAAACCAAGUGAUCUACCCUUGGCCAGGUUGAAGGCUGGGUAACACCAGCUGGAGGACCGCACCAAUAAGCGUUGAAAAGCUUCUGGAUGAGCUGAGGGUAGGGGUGAAAGGCUAAUCAAACUUGGAGAUAGCUCGUACUCCCCGAAAUGCAUUUAGGUGCAGCCUUGCGGGUUACUGAUGUGAGGUAGAGCGACUGAUAAGAUGCGAGGGCUUCACCGCCUAUCAAGUCUUGACAAACUCCGAAUGCGCAUCAGUUCUACCGCAGGAGUGAGGGCAUGGGUGCUAAGGUCCGUGCCCGAGAGGAGAAGAAUCCGGACCACCUGCUAAGGUCCCGAAAUGACAGCUAAGUUAAACUAACGAAGUCUGACUGCUAAGACAGCUAGGAUGUUGGCUUGGAAGCAGCCAUUCAUUUAAAGAGUGCGUAACAGCUCACUAGUCGAGGAGUCGGGCGUGGAUAAUAAUCGGGUAUUAAGUUGUCUACCGAAGCAGUGGGAUCAUUUAUAUGAUCGGUAGGGGAGCAUUCCAGUCAGCGUCGAAGGCGUACCGUGAGGUAUUCUGGAGCGUCUGGAAAAGCAAAUGUAGGUAUAAGUAACGAUAAAGGGGGCGGGAAACCCCCUCGCCGAAAGACUAAGGUUUCCUGAUCAACGCUAAUCGGAUCAGGGUCAGUCGGGUCCUAAGGCUCAGCCGAACGGCGAUGCCGAUGGCAGAAACGGUUAAUAUUCCGUUACUACCUUCAGGAGUGACGUGGAGACGCAGUAGUGACAGUGCCGCCAUCUGACGGAAUAGAUGGUUGAAGGGUGUAGGAGUCGAUCAUGGCAGGCAAAUCCACCAUGAGAUCCGAACCUGAGAGUAUGCCGCGUCCUUCGGGACAAGGCAAUAGUGCGCGUAAGCAUGCUGCCGAGAAAAUCCGCUAAACUUAAUCCUGCAGGUACCCGUACCGCAAACGGACACACGUAGUCGGGAUGAAUAUUCUAAGGCGCUUGAGUGAUUCACGGUUAAGGAACUAGGCAAACUGACCCUGUAACUUCGGGAUAAAGGGUCCCUACCCUUUUAUGGGAGGGCGCAGAGAAUCGGUCCAGGCAACUGUUUAACAAAAACACAGGGCUGUGCCAAAUCGAAAGAUCCAGUAUACAGCCUGACACCUGCCCGGUGCUGGAAGGUUAAGAGGAGAUGUCAUCGAUAAGAGAAGCGUUGAAUUGAAGCCCCAGUAAACGGCGGCCGUAACUAUAACGGUCCUAAGGUAGCGAAAUUCCUUGUCGGGUAAGUUCCGACCUGCACGAAUGGUGUAAUGAUCUGGACGCUGUCUCAACCGUGAGCUCAGUGAAAUUGUAGUAUCGGUGAAGAUGCCGAUUACCCGCGAUGGGACGAAAAGACCCCGUGAACCUUUACUAUAGCUUAUCAUUGAAUCUGGGCACGUGAUGUGUAGGAUAGGUCGGAGGCUUUGAAGCAGGUACGCCAGUAUUUGUGGAGCCGCUGUUGAAAUACGACCCUUUAUUUGUUUGGAUUCUAACCCGUGGAUACGGGGACAUUGAUUGGUGGGUAGUUUGACUGGGGUGGUCGCCUCCAAAAGCGUAACGGAGGCUUCUAAAGGUGCCCUCCGGCCGAUUGGUAACCGGCCUUAGAGUGUAAUGGCAUAAGGGCGCUUGACUGGGAGACUGACAAGUCGAUCAGGUAGGAAACUAGAGCAUAGUGAUCCGGUGUUUCCGUAUGGAA
rnacentral:rRNA from 1 species